AUGAACGCUGGCGGCGUGCCUAAUACAUGCAAGUCGAGCGAACAGAUAAGGAGCUUGCUCCUUUGACGUUAGCGGCGGACGGGUGAGUAACACGUGGGUAACCUACCUAUAAGACUGGAAUAACUCCGGGAAACCGGGGCUAAUGCCGGAUAAAUUUUAGAACCGCAUGGUUCUAAAGUGAAAGAUGGUUUUGCUAUCACUUAUAGAUGGACCCGCGCCGUAUUAGCUAGUUGGUAAGGUAACGGCUUACCAAGGCAACGAUACGUAGCCGACCUGAGAGGGUGAUCGGCCACACUGGAACUGAGACACGGUCCAGACUCCUACGGGAGGCAGCAGUAGGGAAUCUUCCGCAAUGGGCGAAAGCCUGACGGAGCAACGCCGCGUGAGUGAUGAAGGUCUUCGGAUCGUAAAACUCUGUUAUUAGGGAAGAACAAAUGUGUAAGUAACUGUGCACGUCUUGACGGUACCUAAUCAGAAAGCCACGGCUAACUACGUG
rnacentral:rRNA from 1 species